rnacentral:rRNA from 1 species
GACGAACGCUGGCGGCGUGCUUAACACAUGCAAGUCGAACGGAAAGGCCCUGCUUGCAGGGUACUCGAGUGGCGAACGGGUGAGUAACACGUGGGUGAUCUGCCCUGCACUUCGGGAUAAGCCUGGGAAACUGGGUCUAAUACCGGAAAGGAGCCAUUUUAAGGGUUAUGGUUGGAAAGUUUUUUCGGUGUAGGUAGAGCACGCGGCCUCUCAGCUUGUUGGUGGGGUAAUGGCCUACCAAUGCGGAGACGGGUAGCCGGCCUGGGAGGGUGGACGGCCACAGUGGGACUGAGAUUCGGACCAGACUCCUACGGGAGGGAGAAGUGGGGGAUAUUGAUAAAGGGGAGCAGGCCUGAUGCAGCGACGCCGCGUGGGGGAUGACGGCGUUCGGGUUGUAAACGCCUUUCGCUAGGGACGAAGCUUUUUGUGACGGUACCUAGAUAAGAAGCACCGGCUAACUACGUG